AGGACGAACGCUGGCGGCGUGCUUAACACAUGCAAGUCGAGCGGUAAGGCCCUUUCGGGGGUACACGAGCGGCGAACGGGUGAGUAACACGUGAGCAAUCUGCCCUUCACUUCGGGAUAAGCCUCGGAAACGGGGUCUAAUACCGGAUAUGACCGCGCUACGCAUGUGGUGUGGUGGAAAGUUCUGGCGGUGGAGGAUGAGCUCGCGGCCUAUCAGCUUGUUGGUGGGGUAAUGGCCUACCAAGGCUUCGACGGGUAGCCGGCCUGAGAGGGUGACCGGCCACGACUGGGACUGAGACACGGCCCAGACUCCUACGGGAGCAGCAGUGGGAAUAUUGGACAAUGGGCGAAAGCCUGAUCAGCAACGCCGCGUGAGGAUGACGGCCUUCGGUUGUAAACCUCUUCAGCGCCGACGAAGCGAGAGUGACGGUAGCGCGAGAAGAAGCACCGGACCAACACGUGCCAGCAGCCGC
rnacentral:rRNA from 1 species